CGAUUCCGGAGAGGGAGCCUGAGAAACGGCUACCACAUCUAAGGAAGGCAGCAGGCGCGCAAAUUACCCAAUCCUAAUACAGGGAGGUAGUGACAAGAAAUAACAAUACAGGACUUUUUGGUUUUGUAAUUGGAAUGAGUUAAGUAUAAACCCCUUUACAAGUAUCAAUUGGAGGGCAAGUCUGGUGCCAGCAGCCGCGGUAAUUCCAGCUCCAAUAGCGUAUAUUAAAGUUGUUGCAGUUAAAAAGCUCGUAGUUGGAUUUCUGUUAAUAAUUUAUAUAAAAUAUUUUGAAAAAUAUUUAUAUAAUAUUAACAUAAUUCAUAUUACUGAUUAAUUUGAGUAUAUGAAAUUUUACUUUGAGAAAAUUAGAGUGCUUAAAGCAGGCAUAUGCCUUGAAUACUCCAGCAUGGAAUAAUAUUAAAGAUUUUUAUCUUUCUUAUUGGUUCUAAGAUAAGAAUAAUGAUUAAUAGGACAGUUGGGGGCA
rnacentral:rRNA from 1 species